UAGCCUAGUGGUUAAGGCUAUGGAUCGCCAAUCCGGAAACGACGGGUUUGAUUCCCGU
rnacentral:tRNA from 1 species